rnacentral:lncRNA from 1 species
AUACCACUUAUUGUGCCAUAUUUCUAGAUGUGUGGAAUACCUCUCACCAGGAGAUCAAUGAAGAAAACUCCCUGGAAGGGGAUGAAACAUAUUGAAGAAGAACAGCCUUUCUGGUUGCAGCAGCCUUGUAAAUCCUGUCGGCAGGAUUUUUUUCUUCGAUUUGAACCCCUUCUCCAUCAGAUCUGAAAUCUAUCUUUUG